GAGUAGUCGGCUUUUACCGAUCGGUUCCGGGUUCGAGUCCCGGGCAACCCA
rnacentral:tRNA from 1 species